AGGAUGUUGAAUUCCCCGCCACGCUGCUGCCGGGCUUUGUUGGUAAACUGGACUACUACGGACUGGGCGACUAGUGAGGUUAGGAGGAAAGUUCAUAAUGUAUCAUUUCCUUCGGGACUGCUUUCAAGGUGAUGGAUUCUAGUAGUCUGAGGUGAAGGAAUCGAUUUCCAACUUUAGUUUUUGGAGACCGAAGUGAAAAUGACGUUAUCCUCUUGACUACUGGACAGCACUACAUGGGUCACUCCUGAGGAAUGUCUACCCUUGGACUAGUGAAAACAGCUAAUGUUAAGACAGGCAAAUAGAGAAUUCCACUUUUCUCUCAGAUUGACCACUAGGAGGUGCUCAACAUGAAGAAUAAAAAGCAGAGGGCAGCCCAU